ACGGGUGAGUAAACCCGUAA
rnacentral:snRNA from 1 species